rnacentral:rRNA from 1 species
GACGAACGCUGGCGGCGUGCCUAAUACAUGCAAGUCGAGCGCAGGAAAUCGACGGAACCCUUCGGGGGGAAGUCGACGGAAUGAGCGGCGGACGGGUGAGUAACACGUAAAGAACCUGCCCUCAGGUCUGGGAUAACCACGAGAAAUCGGGGCUAAUACCGGAUGGGUCAUCGGACCGCAUGGUCCGAGGAUGAAAGGCGCUUCGGCGUCGCCUGGGGAUGGCUUUGCGGUGCAUUAGCUAGUUGGUGGGGUAAUGGCCCACCAAGGCGACGAUGCAUAGCCGACCUGAGAGGUUGAUCGGCCACACUGGGACUGAGACACGGCCCAAACUCCUACGGGAGGCAGCAGUAGGGAAUCUUCCACAAUGGACGAAAGUCUGAUGGGGCAACGCCGCGUGAACGAUGAAGGCCUUCGGGUCGUAAAGUUCUGUUGUAAGGGAAGAACAAGUGCCGCAGGCAAUGGCGGCACCUUGACGGUACCUUGCGAGAAAGCCACGGCUAACUACGUGCCAGCAGCCGCCGUAA